rnacentral:tRNA from 1 species
GCGGAGGUUCCCGAGUGGUCAAAGGGGAUAGCCUCAAGAGCUAUUGACUUAGUGUCUUCGCAGGUUCAAAUCCUGCCCUCCGCA